rnacentral:rRNA from 1 species
UACGGAGGGAGCUAGCGUUAUUCGGAAUUACUGGGCGUAAAGCGCACGUAGGCGGCUUUGUAAGUUAGAGGUGAAAGCCUGGAGCUCAACUCCAGAACUGCCUUUAAGACUGCAUCGCUUGAAUCCAGGAGAGGUGAGUGGAAUUCCGAGUGUAGAGGUGAAAUUCGUAGAUAUUCGGAAGAACACCAGUGGCGAAGGCGGCUCACUGGACUGGUAUUGACGCUGAGGUGGCGAAAAGCGUGGGGAGCAAACAGG